GACGAACGCUGGCGGCGUGCUUAACACAUGCAAGUCGAACGAGAGGACAAGAGAAGCUUGCUUCUUUGGAAUCGAGUGGCAAACGGGUGAGUAACACGUAAACAACCUGCCUUCAGGAUGGGGACAACAGACGGAAACGACUGCUAAUACCGAAUACGCUUGGGAGACCGCAUGAUCUUCCAAGGAAGGGUGGCCCUCUACUUGUAAGCUAUCGCCUGAAGAGGGGUUUGCGUCUGAUUAGGCAGUUGGUGAGGUAACGGCCCACCAAACCUACGAUCAGUAGCCGGUCUGAGAGGAUGAACGGCCACACUGGAACUGAGACACGGUCCAGACUCCUACGGGAGGCAGGCAGUUGGGGAAUCUUCCGCAAUGGGCGAAAGCCUGACGGAGCAACGCCGCG
rnacentral:rRNA from 1 species